rnacentral:ncRNA from 2 species
GAGCAUCCACACGGGUGCCCUUGGCAAAGGGCUGAGAUCGGGCUGAUACCGCCUGCGACCGUUCGAACCUGUCCGGGUUAUUCCGGCGAAGGAAGUAGGAAAUACCUUCAU